AAAAGCUGGGGCCGAUUUCAAGGGGUUGUAAUGAGACUCUGGGAACGGGACCUGCUCUCUCUGAUUCUAUCACUGUUUGUUCUCCUCAGUCACUGGGCCACAGUGUGGUGGGCCACAGGGGCUGGAUGACGGAACAAGGCCUCCUGGACGCCACCUGAACGGUUGUGCACAUGGUCUGAGAUAUGGCGAACCUCGUGGUUUCUUACUCUUGUGAUGCAUUGCAGCUGGAAUGCUCUCAUCUAAACAACCCAUCCCCACUGCAAAUGUGCUGCAGUGAAUCCUUUAGGGGUGGGUUUUCCCAAAGCCAUCUCCUGGAGAUCCUGAGACAUCGGUGCUUCUCUCAAACUACCCACAGGAGGGCAGUGUGCGUUCCAGAGCAGCAACUUCCUAGGAACAGAGAGGCUUGCAUCUCGGCCUCUUUAAUCAGGAAGACACCCAUGAAGCAGGGACUCCAGUGACAGACUCUGGAGCCAAUGUGCCAAAACCCACCUCCACCACUUACCAGCUCUGGGACCUCCUACAGGUCACUGAAUCUGUUUUCUCAUCUAUACAAUGGACAAUGAUGCUGGUACUCAAAUGUGUCAAGCCUAUCCAUUUACUGCGUAUGUAUCAUAUGGAACAUACAUGUGUAUUUACAAACAUGGCUCACACACUGCAUAGCACAGUGCUUAACAGCGUGAGCUCCUGAGCCAGACUGCCUUGUUCAAUGCCAACGCCGCCAGGUAUUAGCUGUGUGACUCGGGGCAACUCCCUCAACCUCUCUGGGCCUCAAUUUGUCUCUCCACAAUCAGAGAAAUAUUAACUCCUACCUCACAGGACUGCUGCAUGGAUAAAAUAAGUUAAAGCAGUUGGACGUGUUUACAGCAGAGCCAAGUACCAAGUAAAUGCUCCACCAACACCAGCUGUUAUGAUCGACCCCGCUGCAUUUGAGGACUCCCACAGGACCACACAGAAUGGUAUAGAGCAGGGAUUCUUUUCUGUUUUCUGUUUUUGUUUUUUUGAGACAGGGUCUUGCUCUGUCACCCAGAUUUGAGUGCAGUGAUGCAAUCAUAGGUCAAACUAUGGGCUCAAGCAAUUCUCUGACCUCAGCUGCCCAAGUAGCUGAGACCACAGGCACAUACCACCACAUGCACCUGAAGUCUAUUUUAUUUAUCUAUUUUUUUACUGGUCUACUUUUUCUAGAGACAGGGUCUCACUAUGUUGUCCAGGCUGGUUUGAACAUCCAGCCUCAAGUGAUCCUCUGACCUCAGCCUCCCAAAGUGUGGGAUUACAGGGGUGAGCCACUACGCCUGGCCAACAGCAGGGUUUCUCAAUCCUGUGACAACCAAAAGCAUCUCCAGAUAUUGUCAAACAUUCCCUGGGGGACAACACUGCCCAUAAUUGGGAAUUACUAGUCUGAACCAAUUUCCACCCUCGCCCAGCAGACAAAAGUCCACAAAUGAGACCUCACAGAAGCUCUGCCACCCUGACAGAGCAAACAGGGUCAGGGGGUUCUCCCAACUCUCAGUAUUUUCAGUGGUCUCUGUUCCCAACUGUCCUCAUCUGUAAAAUGGGCACACUGAGCACUCCUCCCAUCUACCACCAAGGGCCACAUGAACAAAGCACUCAAACAUUCACUCUACAAAUCUGAGUGUCUACUAGCUGACAGCUAGUGUUCCUCUUGGUUUGGGGGUCCCACAAAACUCUGAGGACUCUAAGGAUCCAGUUGUAUAAUUAGACAAAGCCACCACAGGGUUCCACAUUGGGCAGGGUGGGUGACAAAGGCACCCACUUGCAAAAUGCCCAGGGAUCCACAGAUGCUCAGCCAGACUUUCAUGUGCUCCUGAGUCCCGUGAUGAUGGGGUCAUCAGUCCAGAAGCUGAGUCAAUAGUUGGCAGCCAUCACAGCCACAUGGUUACAUAUGAAAAGGAAGAUGCUGAGAAAGGAGAUGAAGAGGCCAAUGGCCUUUAUGUAGUCCCAGUACACAGAAAGCUUGACCUGGAGACCAUGGGAAAUAAGGCAGCUUAGCAUAUGCACACUCCCAGCCCAGCUGCACAAGGGCAGGGCUUCACCGGCACUGCACCGCCCAGCUGCCUGCCUUUGCUCCCACCUAGAACACCCUCACCUUUAAGUGUUCCACAAAGUCAGCAGUAACAAAGCCGAGGACCAGCACGGUGGCUCACACAUGUAAUUUUUUGGCACUCUGGGAGGCCGCGGCAGGUGGAUCAACUGAUGUCAGGAGUUCGAGAGUAGCAUGGCCAAUAUGGCAAAACCCCGUCUCUACUAAAAAUAGAAAAAAUUAGCCAGGUUUGGUGGCGAGUGCCUGUAAUCCCAGCUAAAUGGGAGGCUGAGGUCCAAGAAUCGCUUGAACCCAGGAGGCAGAUGAUGCAACAGUGAGCCAAGACUGCCCCACUGCACUCCAGCCUGGGAGACAGAGUGAGACUCCAUCUCCAAAACAAGAACAACAAAAGCCAAACUCGAGGUCUCUGCCCUGAUGCACGGAGCUUCUGUCCAUGUGGUGAGAUGGGCUCCCAUCAAAUCAUCCCAGAUAAAUGCCUCAUCACAGAGAAGGGCUGUAAACAGCAUACGAUUCCACGUGAGUCAAAAAUUGGGCAUCCGGACCUAACAAAGCGUAAAGAGGUAUUGGGGGAGGUUUUCGUUGAGAAAGUGACAUUAAAGAGUUAAACCAAAUCUGGGUGUGAUGGCUCACACCUGUAAUGCCAACACUUUGGGAGGUCGAGUCAGGUGGAUCACCUGAGGACAGGAGUUUGAUACCAGCCUGACCAAUAUGGUGAAGCUCCAUCUCUACUAAAGUAUAAAAAUUAGCUGGGUGUGGUGGCAGGUGUACUUGGGACACUGAGGCAGGAAAAUCGCUUGAACCCGGAAGGUGGAGGUUGCAGUGAACUCAGAUAGUGCCAUCGCACUCCAGCCUGGGUGAUAAAGUAAGACUCUGUCUAAAUAAAUAAAUAAGUAAAGAGUAUUGGUUGGGCGUG
rnacentral:lncRNA from 13 species